AUGUCCCCCGGGCGCUGGGGGAGGCCGAGGCCCCUAAUCAGAUGCUCACCGGGAGGCCUGACCGAAACCUGGCCUCACAGGGCAUCUGGGUCAGCAGAAUCAGAAAUUCCAGAGGGGCCAAGCGGACGCACAGGCCCAGUGCGAGUGGUCAGCAAGGGCGGGAAGGACCUGGAGGGGAAGCGAAAGUUUACAAGAAGUCAGAUGAGCAAAGCAGAAAGGGCGGUGGGGCGAGGAAGGACGUCCUCUCCGGGCACCAGCGAGCGGGCGGGGGCGGGGGCGUCCGGCCAGCGCCGUCUGUGGCCGCGCACACGGCCCUGGACGGAGGAAGGUGGGGGGCUGAGGUCGCGGGAGUGCGCACCUGCCCGCUGCUCACGCAGUUUAAAGGGUGGCUUGAAAGUGGUGCACGUGACCGCCUUCCCCGGUGACCCCCUUCAGAGGAACCCGCACCCUGGGCCGCCCGGGAGGCGCCCUGAGCAGGGCAGCGGAGUGUGGGAGCCGCAGCCAGGCAUGGAGAAACCUUGCCUGGCAAAUCCAGACCCCAGGGGCCCCGACUCCACAAUGGCCGCAACCUGGCAGCCAAAACUAGAGCAAAGGCGGCACUUGUUCUGGAUUGCAACACUGGGUGACCUUGACCACUCACUGCAAGCAGGCAUGAGCCUCCACCGUGCGUCCAAACCACGGGGCAGGGGCCGGCGCUGGGGCGCAGCGAGUAAAGCCGUGGCCUGCAGCGCCAGCACCCCACACGGGUGCAGGUUCCAGUCCCGGCUGCUCCACUUCCAACCCAGCUCCCUGCUCUCGCCUGGGAAAGCGGUGGAGGGACGGCCCAGGUCCUUGGGCCCCUGCACCCGCGUGGGAGACCAGGAAGAAGCUCCUGGCUCCUGGCUUUGGCCUGGCCCAGCUCCGGCUGCUGGGGCCCUUUGGGGAGUGAACCAGCGGAUGGAAAACCUCUCUGUCUCUCUUUGUAACUCUACCUUUCAACUAAAUAAAUCUUUGAGGCUGCUGGGGCCCUUUGGGGAGUGA
rnacentral:lncRNA from 1 species